rnacentral:rRNA from 1 species
GUGAGGAAUUUUCCGCAAUGGGCGAAAGCCUGACGGAGCAAUGCCGCGUGAAGGAUGAAGGCCUAUGGGUUGUAAACUUCUUUUCUCAGAAAAGAAUUAUGACGGUAUCUGAGGAAUAAGCAUCGGCUAACUCUGUGCCAGCAGCCGCGGUAAGACAGAGGAUGCAAGCGUUAUCCGGAAUGAUUGGGCGUAAAGCGUCUGUAGGUUGUUUAAAAAGUAUUCUGUCAAAGAUUAGGGCUUAACCCUAGAUAGGCAGAAUAAACUUUUAAGCUAGAGUUUGGUAGAGGCAGAGGGAAUUCCCGGUGGAGCGGUGAAAUGCGUAGAUAUCGGGAGGAACACCAAAGGCAAAGGCAUUCUGCUGGGCCAAUACUAACACUGAGAGACGAAAGCGAGGGGAGCAAAUGGGAUUAGAAACCCCAGUAGUCC